rnacentral:rRNA from 1 species
CCUACGGGUGGCAGCAGUGAGGAAUAUUGGUCAAUGGACGAGAGUCUGAACCAGCCAAGUAGCGUGAAGGAUGACUGCCCUAUGGGUUGUAAACUUCUUUUAUAUGGGAAUAAAACGUUCCACGUGUGGGAUUUUGUAUGUACCAUAUGAAUAAGGAUCGGCUAACUCCGUGCCAGCAGCCGCGGUAAUACGGAGGAGCCGAGCGUUAUCCGGAUUUAUUGGGUUUAAAGGGAGCGUAGGUGGAUUGUUAAGUCAGUUGUGAAAGUUUGGGGCUCAACCGUAAAAUUGCAGUUGAAACUGGCAGUCUUGAGUACAGUAGAGGUGGGCGGAAUUCGUGGUGUAGCGGUGAAAUGCUUAGAUAUGACGAAGAACACCGAUUGCGAAGGCAGUUCACUGGACUGCAACUGACACUGAGGCGCGAAAGUGUGGGGAUCAAACAGGAUUAGAUACCCGUGUAGUC